AUUUUAUUUCUUAACUGUUCUUGUGUGUCGAGACAAGGUCAGUUGUAUUGAGAGCACUAACAAAUUAUAUUUGCUAUUGGGGUCAAAAAUCAGGUGUUGAGUGAUGUAGACUUUUCUUGUAAUCAUGGGUAAAAAUAGACACAUAUACUGAUGAAAAAAAUUCAAUUAAAUUGUGUAAUGCAGAGCAAAACUAUUAUUGCAGAUUUUGGAGUUUUCACAACAAGAGCAAACUUAAGGUGACUUUAUUCUUGAAAAUGUUGGAGACUGAGAGGCAGGUGUGUAUACAGACAACUCUGCAUGGAAUUGGAGGAUACAAGUAUAUAACUGAAUGCAUUCUGUCUGGAUUUCUGUAUGGUGACAGAAGGCUUUGAUAUGGGGAGAAUUGGAGUGGCUAAGAAUCAGAUGGAGACCCAAUGUCAGUUCACAUGGAAUACCAGGGUUUGCAAAGGAGGACAUUGGAACUGGCUUAAGUAUUCGAACUUCUGAUGGCAGUUGAUGAAAGAAGAUGUCAUACUUAGGGAAACAUUAAAUUACUUUGAAUGAUAUUACCUAAAAACAUCAAACAACAGGGGAAAAAAGAGGACUGCCUAUUUCCGAUUUAUCUUUACAUAACAACACCCAAAGCACUACCAUCAAAAAAUUAAAAUCAAUAUAUAGGAAGAAAAAAUGAAGACAUUGAUUAAAAGAAAAGAAGUUCAAAGAGUUUCGAAUAUUAUGUCAAGUUGUCAACGACAACACAGAUCUGGAAAUGGAUUUUCUUGCCUAAUAAUUAUAUUAAAUGCAUGUUCAUGCAUGACUUUUGUUCCAACUGUGUUCCCUGUAUCACAAUUCCUCCAUCAUGUAUACAUGUAGAGCAAGGGCAAUGUUAAAAAACCAUCACAUCUUGUGUAACACCAACAAAACAGCUUUUUAUUGUUUGGACAUUAAAUGCUUAUGAUUAUACUUAAAAUUGCAAGAAAAAGGACUGUACCUGUGUAAAGUACAA